UACGUAGGGGGGCAAGCGUUGUCCGGAUUUAUUGGGCGUAAAGAGCGUGUAGGCGGUUAGGUAGGUCCGUUGUGAAAACUCGAGGCUCAACCUCGAGACGCCGAUGGAAACCAUCUGACUAGAGUCCGGAAGAGGAGAGUGGAAUUCCUGGUGUAGCGGUGAAAUGCGCAGAUAUCAGGAGGAACACCGGUGGCGAAGGCGGUUCUCUGGGCAUGUCCUGACGCUGAGGAGCGAAAGUGUGGGGAGCGAACAGG
rnacentral:rRNA from 1 species